rnacentral:rRNA from 1 species
GAUGAACGCUGGCGGCGUGCCUAACACAUGCAAGUCGAACGGAGUCCAGCCUUUAAGACCUUCGGGUCAAAGAGGGGAAGACUGAGUGGCGGACGGGUGAGUAACACGUGGGCAACCUGGCUCAUAGAGGGGGAUAACAGAGAGAAAUUUCUGCUAAUACCGCAUAAGCACACACUGCCGCAUGGCAGAGGGUGAAAAGAGAAUCGCUAUGAGAUGGACCCGCGUCUGAUUAGCCAGUUGGCAGGGUAAGAGCCUACCAAAGCGACGAUCAGUAGCCGAUCUGAGAGGAUGAACGGCCACAUUGGGACUGAGACACGGCCCAAACUCCUACGGGAGGCAGCAGUGGGGGAUAUUGCACAAUGGGGGGAACACUGAUGCAGCGACGCCGCGUGAGUGAAGAAGUAUUUCGGUAUGUAAAGCUCUAUCAGCAGGGAAGAUAAUGACAGUACCUGAAGAAGAAGCCCCGGCUAACUACGUG